rnacentral:rRNA from 1 species
GGCGUAGUGAAAGGGAACCGUCUGAACUGAAACAUCUUAGUAGGGCGAGGAAAAGAGAGUAAAUAACGAUUCUGGGAGUAGUGGCGAGCGAAACUGGAAUAGCCCAAACCUUGUAUUGUUUUGUUCUCAUCAUCCGGACUGAUAUGCCUAUCUCGGUAGGUGAGUCGGUAUGGAUGGUGAGAACGAUAUGGCUGACAGGCUAAUGCAAUCAGGGUGUUGUGAGUCUACAGAGUUUUAAGAUCCAGCACUUCUACACGGAGUGUUGAAUCUUAAAAGUGACGACUGUCAUCGAGCACAUAAGGUAAAAAAUCGGCGUGGUUAGCAGAACGAGCUGGAAAGCUUAGCCAGAGACUGUGAUAGCCAGGUAUGCGAAAACGACGCUGACCUUAUUCUGUAUUCUCGAGUAGGUCGGGGCACGAGAAACCCUGAUUGAAUCCGGCUGGACCACCAGCCAAGGCUAAAUAUAGUAUAUGAUCGAUAGUGAACUAGUACGGUGACGGAAAGGUGAAAAGAACCCCGGGAGGGGAGUGAAAUAGAACCUGAAAUUUUGUGCCUACAAGGAGUCGGAGCCGGGAUAAGGUAAAUCUACCUCAUCUGCUUUCCGAAAGGGAAAAGAGCAGCGAGCUUGGUUUUGCUUUAGCAAAACUCAGCUUUGCUGACGAGCGAUGAGAAAAAACCGUAGGUUUGUCUCAUCCCGGUGACGGCGUGCUUUUUGUAGAACGAUCCAGCGAGUUAAUUUUUACGGCGAGGUUAAGUCAGAUGACGAAGCCACAGUGAAAGCGAGCAUUAACAGUGCGAUUUAGUCGUAAGGAUUAGACCCGAAACCAGGUGACCUAACCAUGAGCAGGUUGAAGCAACCUUAAUCGGUUGUGGAGGACCGAACCAGUGUAUGUUACAAAAUGCUUGGAUGACUUGUGGUUAGCGGUGAAAUGCCAAUCGAACUUGGAGAUAGCUGGUUCUCCGCGAAAUAGUUAUAGGACUAGCGUCGUGUGAUAGCUUACGGGGGUAGAGCUCUGUCAAGAGAUAGGGGGAGCAAUCCUACCUACUCUUAAUAAACUACGAAUACCGUAUGUCUGUAUCACGGCAGUUAGAACGUCGGUGCUAAGAUCGGCGCUCAAAAGGGAAACAGCCCAGACCAUCAUCUAAGGUCCCCAAAUUUACGCUAAGUGGGAAACAAGGUGGAAUUUCUUAAACAGCUAGGAUGUUGGCUUAGAAGCAGCCAUUCAUUUAAAGAGUGCGUAACAGCUCACUAGUCAAGAGAUUCUGCGUGGAAGAUAUAACGGGGCUAAGCGUAAUACCGAAGAUAUGGAUUGCAAUUUAUUGCAGUGGUAGCGGAGCGUUCCUAUCAGCAGUGAAGCCGGACUGUUAAGUACUGGUGGAGCGUUAGGAAGUGAGAAUGCUGGAACGAGUAACCAUAAGACAGGUGAGAAUCCUGUCGGCCGAAAGAGCGAGGUUUCCUGGGCUAUGGUAAUCAUCCCAGGGUUAGUCGGGCCUAAGCCGAGGCGUUUAGCGUAGGCGAUGGACAUCAGGUUAAUAUUCCUGAACUAGUCAAACUUUGUAUGCAGUUAGCGAUGAGAUAGGUGGAGCGGAUUCAUGGUUUAUCCGUUCAAGUGAUAGAGGAAUCUUGAUCGAGUAAAAGUGAACCUACGGGUUUACGAUUCCGCUGAAGGCAUUGACCAGAAAAGCUGGCAUACGCAUGGGUUUGGCUACCCGUACCGCAAACCGACACAGGUGCUCGAGUCGAGGAGACUAAGGCUUACGAGAGAAUGAUUGCUAAGGAACUCGGCAAUACAGCGACCGUAACUUCGGAAUAAGGUCUGCCUACAUUUGUAGGCCGCAGCUAAAGAGCCCACGGAACUGUUUAUCAAAAACUCAGGUCUCUGCUAACACGAAAGUGGAUGUAUAGGGGCUGAAACCUGCCCGGUGCCGGAAGGUUAAGGGGAUUGCUUCACGGUGAGAACUGAAGCCCCGGUGAACGGCGGCGGUAACUAUAACCGUCCUAAGGUAGCGAAAUUCCUUGUCAGGU